rnacentral:lncRNA from 1 species
CUCUGUCUCUGUCGUCUCUCUCGCUGGCUUUUUAAAAAUGAGGAACCGCUCCUUGAAUGUUCUGGACAGAGCACAGAAUUGCUUCUUAAGUCAGCCCGGCGCGGUUGCAAUAGACAGCAAAAAGGUAAACGUUUGCCUGAAAUCCGCACGCCAGCUCCACCGCCCCGCCCGAUGGUCCCAGUUCCUCUGGGAAUCGUCCUGUAUGCAACAUCUUCACAAGAGUGGCAGGCAGUUGAAUCUCUGGCCUUCGUGGGACCACUGGACAUCUGGCAGAGAACCAGGAAACCACGGUUCCCUUCUGUGAGUCCCUCAGCCGGAAAACUACAAGCUCCUCAUGCAGCUGCUGUCUACAGACCCCCUGGACUGCCUGGGGAAGUGAGUCGGAGCUCCUGCAGCAGAGGGGUGGAACAGCUACACGAAGAUCCGAAGGUGGCCAAAAAUAACAGCGCUUUCCAGAUGAGGGAGCCAGUUGUCCAGCACAGUGUCAUGGGACAGUGGGCCCUGGUGCCACAAUGCCCGGCAUCUCCA